rnacentral:rRNA from 1 species
AGUGAACGCUGGCGGUAGGCCUAACACAUGCAAGUCGAACGGCAGCACAGUAAGAGCUUGCUCUUACGGGUGGCGAGUGGCGGACGGGUGAGGAAUACAUCGGAAUCUACUUUUUCGUGGGGGAUAACGUAGGGACACUUACGCUAAUACCGCAUACGACCUACGGGUGAAAGCAGGGGAUCUUCGGACCUUGCGCGAUUGAAUGAGCCGAUGUCGGAUUAGCUAGUUGGCGGGGUAAAGGCCCACCAAGGCGACGAUCCGUAGCUGGUCUGAGAGGAUGAUCAGCCACACUGGAACUGAGACACGGUCCAGACUCCUACGGGAGGCAGCAGUGGGGAAUAUUGGACAAUGGGCGCAAGCCUGAUCCAGCCAUACCGCGUGGGUGAAGAAGGCCUUCGGGUUGUAAAGCCCUUUUGUUGGGAAAGAAAAGCAGCAGGUUAAUACCCCGCUGUUCUGACGGUACCCAAAGAAUAAGCACGGGCAAACUUCGU